rnacentral:rRNA from 1 species
CCGAAGUUUCCCUCAGGAUAGCUGGAGCACGCAACGUUUCGGAACCUAUUCUUAUCUGGUAAAGCGAAUAAUUAGAGGCCUUAGGUUCGAAAUGAUCUUAACCUAUUCUCAAACUAUAAAUGGGUACGUACCAUAGCAUUCUUGCAUGAUGCUGUUGCAACGUUGACGCCGGGUCGCCCCCUGCCAGGGUGUGCCAUCCACAAGCGGCGUAGAAGAUAUCUGUGUGCUUAGUGGGCCAAGUUUUGGUAAGCAGAACUGGUGCUGUGGGAUGAACCAAACGUAAUGUUACGGGCGCCUAAAUAAACGACGCAUCAUAGAUACCAUGAAUACCAUGAAACAACACCUUUCCAACACCAAUUGCUACAGACAGCAGGACGGUGGACAUGGAAGUUGUCAUCCGCUAAGGAGUGUGUAACAACUCACCUGCCGAAUCUCCAUUUCUUUUGAGAACUGAACUUUCUAUAAGAAUCUAUUUAACAUUGAGAGCCUCUCAUUGAUAAG